rnacentral:rRNA from 1 species
GAUGAACGCUAGCUACAGGCUUAACACAUGCAAGUCGAGGGGCAGCACUAGGUAGCAAUACUGAGGUGGCGACCGGCGCACGGGUGCGUAACGCGUAUCCAACCUUCCCGAUACUCUUGGAUAGCCUUCCGAAAGGGAGAUUAAUACAAGAUGGUGUUUCAAUUCCGCAUGUUAUUGAAACUAAAGAUUUAUCGGUAUCGGAUGGGGAUGCGUGACAUUAGAUAGUAGGCGGGGUAACGGCCCACCAUGGCAACGAUGUCUAGGGGUUCUGAGAGGAAGGUCCCCCACACUGGAACUGAGACACGGUCCAGACUCCUACGGGAGGCAGCAGUGAGGAAUAUUGGUCAAUGGCCGCAAGGCUGAACCAGCCAAGUAGCGUGAGGGAUGACAGCCCUACGGGUUGUAAACCUCUUUUGUCCGGGAAUAAAACGGGGGACGCGUCCCCCCUUGCAUGUACCGGUUGAAUAAGGGCCGGCUAAUUCCGUG